AACAUUGUACGUUCCUGAAAAACAGAACAGCAGCUCAGGCUUACGUGCAAGACCUCACGAUCACUGUGGCGUGCCCCUCUCGUGAUGUGGCCCCGAGGGGGGCUCUCCCUUGAGAGCCAGGAUGACACAUUUGCUGCCCUCUACUCAGUGCCUGCAUCUCUCAGUCCACUUGAAAGUGAGAGCCUGGUGGAGCGUGAAUUUCUACUUCAAACAAAUCAAGUAGGAGAGUCACUUUGAAACACUGGAUUCACAUCGGAUUUAGGAAAAUAACUUUCAAAUACAUGUUUUACUGUUCAAUAGGGUUUGGUAUCUUCUGACAUGUGACGACAGUCAAAUACGUUUGAGUGCAAUAGUUAUUUUCCAAAAUGAACUACAGAAGAUCUAUUCAUCAUUAUUCCUCACAUUGUAUUCUCUAGUGCCUUAAAUUUCCCCAGAAGAUUUCUUUUUUCCCCUUGAAUUUUGGUUUUUGGCCUCCAAUUGGUAUUAUCUGUGCUAUCUGAUCCCUAUUUAAAGAUGUGGGACAGCAUCUUAAUGGAAGUUCUGUGGCUGACUUUAAUAGGCAGAAUCGGGUACAAAGCAAAAACAGUGGAAUAAUAAUCUAUGCUGAACGUGGGUGUGGAGAGAGAGGGGUUUUCAAAAAUCUCUACAAAAGGAACACUGACCUUUGAGUGCUGCGAAGACCAUCUUGACAGUGAAAACUUCUUUAGCAACGCUUCCUGGACCUACAAUUGUUUAAAAGAAGCCAUCGUAAGUUCAAUAUGCUGCAAUCACUGUCGACUUUUCUAGAAGCAUGAAACUGUCAUUGUUCUUACCUUCUGAUCCCAGAGGCAGCCAAAGAGUAAAAUGAAUAAUCCCUGAAAAAAAGAAUUGGGAAGAAGGACAUUUUAUUCAUAUUCUAUUGCCCAGCAAACCAAGAAAUAUUGUCAACCAGGCAUUGAAUUUGUACUACCUCUCCCAUAUCUGUAUUUAUGGAAUGAGUCCAGGGGAUAAUAAUGUUAAAAGGAAUGCAGUAGGUCCACACCAGGGGACCUUAAAUGUUAUCAUGUGAGAAGGAUAUUAUUCUAUUUCCUUCUCCUUGCCUCCUCGUGGACUGGAGGGCCUGCUGGUUGAGCUGUCGAAUGCACCUUUUCUGUCUACAGUAGUGCUCACGUCAUUGUGAUGAGAACCUGGGGCCUGGGGUGAAAUAAUCAGUCCCUUGUAGUCAAGUCAUGCUAUACACUUCAUUAGGCAUGAGCCUUAUAGUUUGAAGCCAUGGACCCAGUAGCAGAAGUUAGGAUUUGUGUGGCCUUGGCAUGAGCAUCUGGGACCGUGUCUCAAUUUCUCCUCCUUGCCAGUUCAUGGGAGCCCAUGCUUACCACCCACCUGCUGGCUGAAUCAGAAUUAAGCAUUCCCUUCCUUGCUGCCUGUACCUCUGCUAAAGCUCUUCUAACAAUGUGGCUUGUAUUAUAGUUCGUUAUGUGCUACAAGAGAACAAUGAGUGUGUCUUUUUCAUUUUAGUAAAAUAGAGCAGAAUGUCUACCUUACGUAGGGCAUUCUUUCUCUCAUUCUUCAGCAAAUGUUCCUAGAGAACAUACUAUGUGGUUCAUGGCAUUCAUUUUAUUUACCAGACGGUUAUCGAGCACCUACUCUGUGCCAAAGUCUUUUUUAGGUACUAUUAGGGAUAGAGUGGUAAAGAAGACAAAUGCUAUCCCUGAAUUCACAAAGAUAGAGCUCAUUUAAUGCUUGUGGAAAUUAAGUGGAGAAAUGAUGUGGUUUAAUAGUGGUAUUUUCAUUUAGGAGAUAAUAAGUGGCAUCAUGAUAAUGUUGGGUAAAUAGCAAAAUCCUGUGUAGAGAAGGGACUUUCCUCUUACUUGUAUUAUCAGGGCCUUUCGAAGUGACUCAUGCAUGCAGCUAAAUUAUAAUGCAGGUGAUAAGAGGUAUGAGGUUCCAUGGGAGCAGAGGAAUGUGUCCCUUCUAUCUCACUGAGUUCUUGUAAUUCCCCCUCUUUAGGGCUAGGGCCUCCUCUGAACUAAAAUCCUUCCCCAUUCCUACCCCUGUUUGUGUUUCUAUCAUUAAUUUUUCCCACCAGUUCAGAUACUUCCUGAGAACCCUGCCCUGCAGAACUUACCUGAAAGGCAUUGAGUAGUGUAAAUAUAAUAUGGAACACAGCAUUGCUUCCUUGGAACACAGUGGCAAGGCCAAAGCCCCAGGUGAGCCCCAAGAGUGGCGUGAGGACCCCAAUGCUCUUGCUGAUCUGAAACAGGCUACUCUUCUCCUGCUUGCUUGGCUUGUCUCCAAUGGAAGGUCUCAGGAUCUUGGAGAUGACCACAACUGUGAUGGUCAUGUUCACUACCACGAUGAUCAGCGCUGGGAUGACGAAGGCCAGCAGGGCCUUAGUAUCCUCCCAGUUGAGCCAGCAGGCAUUCUUCCUGGUGUAGACUUCUUGGGGCUGGGUGGCCCCUACUGUGAUGACUGAGAUGACAAGAGGGCAGCCAUAGCCAAGAGAAAAUGCAAUAGUCUUCUGAAUGGACUUGCUUGUGUCAUGCAGGAUGAAAACCAGGCGGUAGAAGAGCAUGAGGCCCAGAGUCAGCAUCCAGAAAAAGACGCUGAGGUAGAAGAAGUGGAUGAAGAAGGUGGCGGCCACACAGGCUGUCUCGUUGAGAGGGUAAAAAUGGUCGUGGAUGGCAGCGGCCACAAUGAACCAGAUGUCAGCCACCAGAAGGGAGGCGGCAAUGUUCACUAUGCAGAUGUGGCGCAUAUAGGAAGUCCGAUUCUUGGUUACUGAUUUCCACACCACGGCUUCCACCACUAGACAGGCUGCUAAGCUCAAGAUGGAAAAGCACAACCCAAUGUAGGAAAUGAUAUCCAGUAGUAU